rnacentral:rRNA from 1 species
GACGAACGCUGGCGGCGUGCCUAAUACAUGCAAGUAGAACGCUGAAGAGAGGAGCUUGCUCUUCUUGGAUGAGUUGCGAACGGGUGAGUAACGCGUAGGUAACCUGCCUUGUAGCGGGGGAUAACUAUUGGAAACGAUAGCUAAUACCGCAUGACAAUGGAUGACACAUUUCAUUUAUUUGAAAGGGGCAAUUGCUCCACUACAAGAUGGACCUGCGUUGUAUUAGCUAGUAGGUGAGGUAACGGCUCACCUAGGCGACGAUACAUAGCCGACCUGAGAGGGUGAUCGGCCACACUAGGACUGAGACACGGCCCAGACUCCUACGGGAGGUAGCAGUAGGGAAUCUUCGGCAAUGGGGGCAACCCUGACCGAGCAACGCCGCGUGAGUGAAGAAGGUUUUCGGAUCGUAAAGCUCUGUUGUAAGUCAAGAACGAGUGUGAGAGUGGAAAGUUCACACUGUGACGGUAGCUUACCAGAAAGGGACGGCUAACUACGU